rnacentral:rRNA from 1 species
UACGGAGGGUGCGAGCGUUGUCCGGAAUCACUGGGCGUAAAGGGCGCGUAGGUGGCUUCUCAAGCGCGCGGUGAAAGCCCGGGGCUCAACCCCGGGUCGGCCGUGCGGACUGGGAGGCUCGAGCACUGUAGGGGCGGGUGGAAUUCCGGGUGUAGCGGUGGAAUGCGCAGAUAUCAGGAGGAACACCAAUAGCGAAGGCAGCUCGCUGGGACGGUACUGACACUAAGGCGCGAAAGCGUGGGGAGCGAACAGG